rnacentral:rRNA from 1 species
CCUACGGGGGGCAGCAGUGGGGAAUAUUGGACAAUGGGCGAAAGCCUGAUCCAGCCAUGCCGCGUGUGUGAAGAAGGCCUUCGGGUUGUAAAGCACUUUCAGUGGGGAAGAAAGCCUUGGGGCUAAUACCCUCGAGGAAGGACAUCACCCACAGAAGAAGCACCGGCUAACUCCGUGCCAGCAGCCGCGGUAAUACGGAGGGUGCGAGCGUUAAUCGGAAUUACUGGGCGUAAAGCGCGCGUAGGCGGUCUGAUAAGCCGGUUGUGAAAGCCCCGGGCUCAACCUGGGAACGGCAUCCGGAACUGUCAGGCUAGAGUGCAGGAGAGGAAGGUAGAAUUCCCGGUGUAGCGGUGAAAUGCGUAGAGAUCGGGAGGAAUACCAGUGGCGAAGGCGGCCCUCUGGACUGACACUGACGCUGAGGUGCGAAAGCGUGGGUAGCAAACAGGAUUAGAUACCCCGGUAGUC